GCUUAGUUGGUUAGUGCGUGGUGCUGAUAACACCAAGGUCGCGGGUUCGAUUCCCAU
rnacentral:tRNA from 1 species